UGCUAACGUCCGUCGUGAAGAGGGAAACAACCCAGACCGCCAGCUAAGGUCCCAAAGUCAUGGUUAAGUGGGAAACGAUGUGGGAAGGCCCAGACAGCCAGGAUGUUGGCUUAGAAGCAGCCAUCAUUUAAAGAAAGCGUAAUAGCUCACUGGUCGAGUCGGCCUGCGCGGAAGAUGUAACGGGGCUAAACCAUGCACCGAAGCUGCGGCAGCGAACGUAUCACUUAAAGCGAUUCAGCGGGUUACGAUUGACGGAGCGAAGCGACGUCAAAGCGUAUACAAAGUCGAGUCGGUUUAAGGAUACGUUCGUUGGGUAGGGGAGCGUUCUGUAAGCCUGUGAAGGUGGCCUGUGAGGGUUGCUGGAGGUAUCAGAAGUGCGAAUGCUGACAUAAGUAACGAUAAAGCGGGUGAAAAGCCCGCUCGCCGGAAGACCAAGGGUUCCUGUCCAACGUUAAUCGGGGCAGGGUGAGUCGACCCCUAAGGCGAGGCCGAAAGGCGUAGUCGAUGGGAAACAGGUUAAUAUUCCUGUACUUGGUGUUACUGCGAAGGGGGGACGGAGAAGGCUAUGUUGGCCGGGCGACGGUUGUCCCGGUUUAAGCGUGUAGGUGUGUGUUCCAGGUAAAUCCGGUUCACUUUAACACUGAGGCGUGAUGACGAGGCACUACGGUGCUGAAGCAACAAAUGCCCUGCUUCCAGGAAAAGCCUCUAAGCAUCAGGUAACAUCAAAUCGUACCCCAAACCGACACAGGUGGUCAGGUAGAGAAUACCAAGGCGCUUGAGAGAACUCGGGUGAAGGAACUAGGCAAAAUGGUGCCGUAACUUCGGGAGAAGGCACGCUGACACGUAGGUGAAGUGAUUUACUCAUGGAGCUGAAGUCAGUCGAAGAUACCAGCUGGCUGCAACUGUUUAUUAAAAACACAGCACUGUGCAAACACGAAAGUGGACGUAUACGGUGUGACGCCUGCCCGGUGCCGGAAGGUUAAUUGAUGGGGUCAGCGCAAGCGAAG
rnacentral:rRNA from 1 species